rnacentral:rRNA from 1 species
GACGAACGCUGGCGGCGUGCCUAAUACAUGCAAGUAGAACGCUGAAGGAGGAGCUUGCUUCUCUGGAUGAGUUGCGAACGGGUGAGUAACGCGUAGGUAACCUGCCUGGUAGCGGGGGAUAACUAUUGGAAACGAUAGCUAAUACCGCAUAAUAGUAGAUGUUGCAUGACAUUUGCUUAAAAGGUGCAAUUGCAUCACUACCAGAUGGACCUGCGUUGUAUUAGCUAGUUGGUGAGGUAACGGCUCACCAAGGCAACGAUACAUAGCCGACCUGAGAGGGUGAUCGGCCACACUGGGACUGAGACACGGCCCAGACUCCUACGGGAGGCAGCAGUAGGGAAUCUUCGGCAAUGGACGGAAGUCUGACCGAGCAACGCCGGGGGAGGGAAGAAGGUUUUCGGAUCGUAAAGCUCUGUUGUAAGAGAAGAACGAGUGUGAGAGUGGAAAGUUCACACUGUGACGGUAUCUUACCAGAAAGGGACGGCUAACUACGUG